UGGGGAGGCGAGUGAGGAUCGCGGCGCACCUUGAGUGUGUCGAGGAAAGUCCGAGCUCCGCAGGGCAGGGUGCCGGCUAACGGCCGGGCGCCGCAAGGCGACGGAAAGUGCAACAGAAAGCAAACCGCCGAUGGCUGGGUAACCGGCACAGGCAAGGGUGAAAGGGUGCGGUAAAAGCGCACCGCGGGUCUGGUAACAGGCCUGGCAUGGUAAACCCCACCCGGAGCAAGGCCAAGCAGGGACGAGGGGCUGCCCGCCCCGUUAUCAGUCCCGGGUAGGCUGCAUGAGGUCAUCGGCAACGGUGGUCCCAGAGAAAUGAUCCCGCCGCUCUUCGGAGCGGAACAGAACUCGGCUUAUUCCGCCUCCCCAGCCA
rnacentral:RNase_P_RNA from 1 species